GUUGUCGUGCCCGUACCCGAGUGGUUAAGGCGAUGGACUGGAAAUCCAUUGGGGUCUCCCCAUGUAGGUUCAAAUCCUGCUGACAACG